rnacentral:rRNA from 1 species
CAGUCGCCGCGGGAAUACAGAGGGUGCGAGCGUUAAUCGGAUUUACUGGGCGUAAAGCGUGCGUAGGCGGCUUCUUAAGUCGGAUGUGAAAUCACUGAGCUUAACUUAGGAAUUGCAUUCGAUACUGGGAAGCUAGAGUAUGGGAGAGGAUGGUAGAAUUCCAGGUGUAGCGGUGAAAUGCGUAGAGAUCUGGAGGAAUACCGAUGGCGAAGGCAGCCAUCUGGCCUAAUACUGACGCUGAGGUACGAAAGCAUGGGGAGCAAACAGGAUUAGAUACCCCUGUAGUCCCUGUCUCUUAUAC